UAUAGUAGUAUUUUUUUUCUUUGCUCAGGAUGAACGCGGCGGUGUGCCUAAUACAUGCAAGUCGUACGCACUGGCCCAACUGAUUGAUGGUGCUUGCACCUGAUUGACGAUGGAUCACCAGUGAGUGGCGGACGGGUGAGUAACACGUAGGUAACCUGCCCCGGAGCGGGGGAUAACAUUUGGAAACAGAUGCUAAUACCGCAUAACAACAAAAGCCACAUGGCUUUUGUUUGAAAGAUGGCUUUGGCUAUCACUCUGGGAUGGACCUGCGGUGCAUUAGCUAGUUGGUAAGGUAACGGCUUACCAAGGCGAUGAUGCAUAGCCGAGUUGAGAGACUGAUCGGCCACAAUGGAACUGAGACACGGUCCAUACUCCUACGGGAGGCAGCAGUAGGGAAUCUUCCACAAUGGGCGCAAGCCUGAUGGAGCAACACCGCGUGAGUGAAGAAGGGUUUCGGCUCGUAAAGCUCUGUUGUUGGAGAAGAACGUGCGUGAGAGUAACUGUUCACGCAGUGACGGUAUCCAACCAGAAAGUCACGGCUAACUACGUGCCAGCAGCCGCGGUAAUACGUAGGUGGCAAGCGUUAUCCGGAUUUAUUGGGCGUAAAGCGAGCGCAGGCGGUUGCUUAGGUCUGAUGUGAAAGCCUUCGGCUUAACCGAAGAAGUGCAUCGGAAACCGGGCGACUUGAGUGCAGAAGAGGACAGUGGAACUCCAUGUGUAGCGGUGGAAUGCGUAGAUAUAUGGAAGAACACCAGUGGCGAAGGCGGCUGUCUGGUCUGCAACUGACGCUGAGGCUCGAAAGCAUGGGUAGCGAACAGGAUUAGAUACCCUGGUAGUCCAUGCCGUAAACGAUAUCAUGU
rnacentral:rRNA from 1 species